rnacentral:rRNA from 1 species
UACGUAGGGGCAAGCGUUGUCCGGAAUCAUUGGGCGUAAAGAGCGUGUAGGCGGUUCGGUAAGUCGGCUGUGAAAGUCCAGGGCUCAACCCGUGGGAUGCCGGUCGAUACUGCCGGACUAGAGUUCGGAAGAGGCGAGUGGAAUUCCCGGUGUAGCGGUGAAAUGCGCAGAGUAUCGGGAGGAACACCUAUGGCGAAGGCAGCUCGCUGGGACGUUACUGACGC